rnacentral:rRNA from 1 species
GCAACUCGGCUGCAUGAAGCCGGAAUCGCUAGUAAUCGCGGAUCAGAACGCCGCGGUGAAUACGUUCCCGGGUCUUGUACACACCGCCCGUCACACCAUGGGAGUCGGGAACGCCCGAAGUCGGCGACCCAACCGCAAGGAGGGAGCCGCCGAAGGCGGGCCCGGCGACUGGGGUGAAGUCGUAACAAGGUAAC